ACUUAAAAAAUCCGUUGGCUUUAUAGACCAUGAGGGUUCAAGUCCCUCUACCCCCA
rnacentral:tRNA from 1 species